AGAAGAAAAACUUUGGAUCUUAAUUUGUGAGGCUCUUUCAGACAUUUGUAAGGUUACAGUUAAAGCUUCACCUAUUAUGUGUGUACUCCACAUUUUGCCUCCUCCUUUACAGGAACAUAAAGACAUUAUUCAUCCUUUAUUGAUGCUGGCAUAGAAAGCCAUUAUGAACAAAUGAGUUGGGGAUAGCGCUCCCUUUUAAAGGGAAUGGCUAUUUAUUUAUGAUAAAAGACCCUAGAAAAACUAAGAUUCCAUCUUUUGGGUAAAUUUAUGUCAUUUAACAGAAUGUGGGAAGAACCAUUGAGAUCUUUGGGGGUUAGUGAAGAUCCCAGCAUCAGAUGAAAAAUGUAAUAAA